rnacentral:misc_RNA from 1 species
UUCCGGUUAAAGCUAUUAACCUAUUGAAGCCUGACAUGGACGACUAUAAAUAACCAUGAAGUCCGGCCCUCAACGGGGCAGGACAACACCGUUGAAAUGCUGUGAUCAACUAUUGUUGUACCAGCAGCCCUUUUAAUGGGGGCCCACAGAUCAAGCCGCGGUGAUCCUACCUAACAUUAGUUAGGUAGGACUAUAAUAUGACCGGUCUCAACCUGAGAUGGUUUGAGAUGAUACGUUCCGUAGGUGAACCUGCGGAAGGAUCAUUACCGAGUUAGGGUCUUUUAGGCCCGACCUCCAACCCUUUGUUUACUAUACCAUGUUGCUUUGGUGGGCCCGCCUUUUGGGGCCACUGGGGAUAUAUCUCUAGUCAGUGCCUGCCAGUAGCCUUCUUAAAUCCUUUUAUAUCUAUGUCGUCUGAAUAAAACAAAUAAAUCGUUAAAACUUUCAACAACGGAUCUCUUGGUUCUG